CUGCAAUAUUUAGAAUCUCUGUAUAUUUGCAGUGCAAAUGGUGGCUUGCUUAGGUAGAACGUAGACAGAUCUGUACAAGAUGUAGUAAUUGUAAAAUGUCAUGUGUUUGCUUUUAAAUUUUAACCUCAAAAGGUGCUUUCCAAC